UACGUAGGGGGCAAGCGUUAUCCGGAAUUACUGGGUGUAAAGGGGGCGUAGACGGUAAUGUAAGUCUGGAGUGAAAGGCGGGGGCCCAACCCCCGGACUGCUCUGGAAACUAUGUUACUAGAGUGCAGGGGAGGUAAGCGGAAUUCCUAGUGUAGCGGUGAAAUGCGUAGAUAUUAGGAAGAACACCAGUGGCGAAGGCGAUUCUCUGGACUGUAACUGACGCUGAGGCUCGAAAGCGUGGGUAGCAAACAGG
rnacentral:rRNA from 1 species